CCUACGGGAGGCAGCAGUAGGGAAUCUUCCGCAAUGGGCGAAAGCCUGACGCAGCGACGCCGCGUGAGUGAUGAAGGUCUUCGGAUCGUAAACCUCUGUCAUCAGGGAAGAACAUUCACUGUACUAAUCAUCCAUGACUUGACGGUACCUACUCAGGAAGCACCGGCUAACUCCGUGCCAGCAGCCGCGGUAAUACGGAGGGUGCAAGCGUUAAUCGGAAUUACUGGGCGUAAAGCGCGCGUAGGCGGUAUGUUAAGUCAGAUGUGAAAUCCCCGGGCUCAACGGUGGAACGUCAUUGGAAACUGGAAAACUGGAGUGUAGGAGAGGAAAGUGGAAUUCCAGGUGUAGGGGUGAAAUCCGCAGAGAUAUGGAGGAACAGCAGUGGCGAAGGCGACUAUCUGGCCUAUAACUGACGCUGAGGAGCGAAAGCGUGGGGAGCAAACAGGAUUAGAUACCCGGGUAGUC
rnacentral:rRNA from 1 species